rnacentral:rRNA from 1 species
AUUGAACGCUGGCGGCAUGCCUUACACAUGCAAGUCGAACGGCAGCACGGGAGCAAUCCUGGUGGCGAGUGGCGAACGGGUGAGUAAUAUAUCGGAACGUGCCCAGUCGUGGGGAGUAACGCAGCGAAAGACUGUGCUAAUACCGCAUACGAUCUAUGGAUGAAAGCGGGGAGUCGCAAGACCUCGCGCGAUUGGAGCGGCCGAUAUCAGAUUAGCUAGUUGGUGGGGUAAAAGGCUCACCAAGGCGACGAUCUGUAGCUGGUCUGAGAGGACGACCAGCCACACUGGAACUGAGACACGGUCCAGACUCCUACGGGAGGCAGCAGUGGGGGAAUUUUGGACAAUGGGCGGAAGCCUGAUCCAGCCAUGCCGCGUGAGUGAAGAAGGCC